rnacentral:rRNA from 1 species
ACGAACGCUGGCGGCGUGCCUAAUACAUGCAAGUUGAGCGCUGAAGGUUGGUACUUGUACCAACUGGAUGAGCAGCGAACGGGUGAGUAACGCGUGGGGAAUCUGCCUUUGAGCGGGGGACAACAUUUGGAAACGAAUGCUAAUACCGCAUAAAAACUUUAAACACAAGUUUUAAGUUUGAAAGAUGCAAUUGCAUCACUCAAAGAUGAUCCCGCGUUGUAUUAGCUAGUUGGUGAGGUAAAGGCUCACCAAGGCGAUGAUACAUAGCCGACCUGAGAGGGUGAUCGGCCACAUUGGGACUGAGACACGGCCCAAACUCCUACGGGAGGCAGCAGUAGGGAAUCUUCGGCAAUGGACGAAAGUCUGACCGAGCAACGCCGCGUGAGUGAAGAAGGUUUUCGGAUCGUAAAACUCCGUUGGUAGAGAAGAACGUUGGUGAGAGUGGAAAGCUCAUCAAGUGACGGUAACUACCCAGAAAGGGACGGCUAACUACGUG